rnacentral:rRNA from 1 species
GAUGAACGCUGGCGGCGUGCCUAAUACAUGCAAGUCGAGCGAACAGACGAGGCGCUUGCUCCUCUGACGUUAGCGGCGCACGGGUGAGUAACACGUGUAUAACCUACCUAUAAGUCUGGGAUCACUUCGGGAAACCGGAGCUAAUACCGUAUAAUAUCUUGCACCGCAUGGGUCAAUAGUGAGAGACGGCUUUGCUGUCACUUCUAGAUGGAUCCGCGCCGCAUUAGAUAGUUGGUAAGGUCACGGCUUACCAAGGGGACGAUGCGUAGCCGACCUGAGAGGGUGGUCGGCCACACUGGAGCUGGGACGCGGUCCAGACUCCUACGGGAGGCACCAGUAGGGAAUCGUCCGCAAUGGGCGAAAACCUGACGGAGCAGCGCCGCGUGUGAGAUGAAGAUGUUCGGAUCGUAAAACUCGGUUAUUAGGGAAGAACAAAUGUGUAAGUAACUGUGCACGUCUUGACGGUACCUAAUCAGAAAGCCACGGCUAACUACGUG